rnacentral:tRNA from 1 species
GGCUCUGUGGCGCAAUGGACAGCGCAUUGGACUUCUAGCAUCAAGCAUUCUAACUUCAGCACUGAGGAAGUGAUUCAAAGGUUGUGGGUUCGAGUCCCACCAGAGUCG